rnacentral:rRNA from 1 species
CUACGGGCGGCACCAGUGGGGAAUAUUGGACAAUGGGGGCAACCCUGAUCCAGCAAUGCCGCGUGUGUGAAGAAGGCUUGAGGGUUGUAAAGCACUUUCAGCGGGGAGGAAAAGUUCUUUGUUAAUAGCGAAGAGCAUUGACGUUACCCGCAGAAGAAGCACCGGCUAACUCUGUGCCAGCAGCCGCGGUAAUACAGAGGGUGCGAGCGUUAAUCGGAAUUACUGGGCGUAAAGCGCGCGUAGGUGGAUAAUUAAGUUAGCUGUGAAAGCCCCGGGCUCAACCUGGGAAAGCCAGCUAAAACUGGUUGUCUGGAGUAUGGUAGAGGGAAGUGGAAUUUCCGGUGUAGCGGUGAAAUGCGUAGAUAUCGGAAGGAACACCAGUGGCGAAGGCGACUUCCUGGACCGAUACUGACACUGAGGCGCGAAAGCGUGGGUAGCAAACAGGAUUAGAUACCCUAGUAGUC